rnacentral:rRNA from 1 species
GCGCAGCAGGCGCGAAAACUCCGCUAUGCGCGAAAGCGCGACGGGGUCACCCCGAGUGCCACCCGCUGAGGGUGGCUUUUCCCCAGUCUAAACAGCUGGGGGAAUAAGGGGAGGGCAAGCCUGGUGUCAGCCGCCGCGGUAAUACCAGCUCCCCGAGUGGUCGGGACGAUUAUUGGGCCUAAAGCGUCCGUAGCCGGCCCAGUAAGUCCCCUGUUAAAAUCCAGCGAUCCAAUCGCUGGGCUGCAGGGGAUACUGCUGGGGUUAGGGGGCGGGAGAGGCUGGCGGUAUUCCCGGGGGAGGGGUGAAAUCCCGAGAUCCCGGGAGGACCACCGGUGGCGAAGGCGGCCAGCUAGAACGCGCCCGACGGUGAGGGACGAAAGCCGGGGGAGCGAACCGGAUUAGAUACCCGCGUAGU